AUUGAACGCUGGCGGCAGGCCUAACACAUGCAAGUCGAACGAGUGGCGGACGGGUGAGUAGUGUCUGGGAAACUGCCUGAUGGAGGGGGAUAACUACUGGAAACGGUAGCUAAUACCGCCUACCAUCGGAUGUGCCCAGAUGGGAUUAGCUAGUAGGUGGGGUAAAGGCUCACCUAGGCGACGAUCCAUAGCUGGUCUGAGAGGAUGAGCAGCCAGCCUGGAACUGAGACACGGUCCAGACGCCGACGGGAGGCAGCAGGGGGGAAUAUUGCACAAUGGGCGCAAGCCUGAUGCAGCCAUGCCGCGUGUGUGAAGAAGGCCUUCGGGUUGUAAAGCACUUUCAGCGGGGAGGCGUUACCCGCAGAAGAAGCACCGGCUAACUCCGUGCCAGCCGCCGCGGUAAUUC
rnacentral:rRNA from 1 species